GGAGGAAAAGAAACCAACAGGGAUUGCCCCAGUAACGGCGAGUGAAGCGGCAACAGCUCAAAUUUGAAAUCUGGCCCCAGGCCCGAGUUGUAAUUUGCAGAGGAUGCUUUUGGCGCGGUGCCUUCCGAGUUCCCUGGAACGGGACGCCAUAGAGGGUGAGAGCCCCGUACGGUUGGACACCAAGCCUUUGUAAAGCUCCUUCGACGAGUCGAGUAGUUUGGGAAUGCUGCUCAAAAUGGGAGGUAUAUUUCUUCUAAAGCUAAAUAUUGGCCAGAGACCGAUAGCGCACAAGUAGAGUGAUCGAAAGAUGAAAAGCACUUUGAAAAGAGGGUUAAAUAGUACGUGAAAUUGCUGAAAGGGAAGCGCUUAUGACCAGACUUGGGUUCGGUGAAUCAUCCGGCGUUCUCGCCGGUGCACUUUGCCGUCCCAGGCCAGCAUCAGUUCGCGCCGGGGGAUAAAGGUUUCGGGAACGUGGCUCCCUCGGGAGUGUUAUAGCCCGUUGCGUAAUACCCUGGCGUGGACUGAGGUCCGCGCUCUGCAAGGAUGCUGGCGUAAUGG
rnacentral:rRNA from 1 species